rnacentral:rRNA from 1 species
AUUGAACGCUGGCGGCAGGCCUAACACAUGCAAGUCGAACGAGUGGCGGACGGGUGAGUAAUGUCUGGGAAACUGCCUGAUGGACGGGGAUAACUACUGGAAACGGUAGCUAAUACCGCAUACCAUCGGAUGUGCCCACGGGGGCUUAGCUAGUAGGUGGGGUAACGGGUCACCUAGGCAACGAUCCCUAGCUGGUCUGAGAGGGUGACCAGCCACACUGGAACUGAGACACGGCCCAGACGCCUACGGGAGGCAGCAGUGGGGAAGAUUGGACAAUGGGCGCAAGCCUGAUGGAGCAAUGCCGCGUGUAUGAAGAAGGUCUUCGGGUUGUAAAGUACUUUCAGUGGGGAAGCGGUACCCGAAGAAGAAGCACCGGCUAACUACGUGCCAGCAGCCGCGGUAAUAC